rnacentral:rRNA from 1 species
UACGGGGGGGGCAAGCGUUGUUCGGAAUUACUGGGCGUAAAGGGCUCGUAGGCGGCCAACUAAGUCAUACGUGAAAUCCCUCAGCUUAACUGGGGAACUGCGUGCGAUACUGGAUGGCUUGGAUUUGGGAGAGGGAUGCGGAAUUCCAGGUGUAGCGGUGAAAUGCGUAGAUAUCUGGAGGAACACCGGUGGCGAAGGCGGCAUCCUGGACCAAUAUUGACGCUGAGGAGCGAAAGCCAGGGGAGCAAACGGG